rnacentral:lncRNA from 1 species
CAAACGGGCAGCUAGGCUAAUCCGCGAGCGGAUCAUUGUAUCUCCAGAUUAUUUGAAUAUGAAUGAAAUUUAUCCAUAAAUUUUUGGAUAGCUAAUAUUUUUACCCAUACCAGUCCGCGGGUGGGUACGCAGGUUAUCCGCAAUUAUUAUUAUUUUUUUUUGCUCUUAUAUUUUUUAAAUACAAAAUAUAUAUAAAUAUAAAUUUUAAAAGUAUAACAUAACUUAUUAUUUAAAAUAUCAUAACAUACAAUAAAAAUAUUUAAAGUCUUAAAGUAAAAAAUUUUAUAA